AUACGUAGAAGGGUAGCUUGGCAUUAUUAACACCUUAGAAUACGCAGAAAGGGUAGUUUGGUAAUAGUGACGAACACAAUAAUUAGAGAACCUGGCUUCCAAGUUUAGUCAAAAGUAUCCAUGAAUUAAGUAAAGCCAGGAUCAACAAAGUAGCUGUACGCCUGUACCUGUCAAAGUGUCAAACGGGAUGCCGAAGAGAGCAUUCAGAUACGCAGUGGUUGAUGCCUUCACGGAUGAACCGUUCAAGGGCAACUCCGCGGCCGUCUGCCUCUUGGUCUUGGAGGACGACGCCGGCGCCGCAGGAGAGCGUCUGGACGGGCGGUGGAUGCAGGCGGUGGCAGCAGAGUUCAACACACCCAUCACCGCGUUCCUGGUCCGCGGCGAUGGUUCCGGCGGCCGGCACGGAUGCUGCAGGGGGUGGUGUUACGACUGUGACUCCCCAGUUCCGUAUCCGCUGGUUCACUUCAGUUCGUGAGACGAGCAAUCUAGUGUGGAUUCUGAGGUUCAGCAAGUAGAAGUAGCUGAGCAGGAGCUCAUUGAAGGUGGUGUCUCCCAGUCAGCUUUCUGGCGCCAAGGAUAGAUUUUAGUUCCUGUUAUAUUCAUCUUUUAUUUUGUAAGACUUCCGCUAUGUAAUAAGUACUCUGAUUUUAUUGUGACAUUUAUCUC